rnacentral:rRNA from 1 species
UACAGAGGGGGCAAGCGUUAUUCGGAAUUAUUGGGCGUAAAGGGCGCGUAGGCGGCUUUUCAAGUGACGGGUGAAAUCCCUCGGCUUAACCGAGGAACUGCCUGUCAGACUGGAAGGCUUGAAUCCGGGAGAGGGAUGUGGAAUUCCUGGUGUAGCGGUGAAAUGCGCAGAUAUCAGGAGGAACACCGGUGGCGAAGGCGGUUCUCUGGGCAUGUCCUGACGCUGAGGAGCGAAAGUGUGGGGAGCGAACAGG